rnacentral:rRNA from 1 species
AGUGAACGCUGGCGGUAGGCCUAACACAUGCAAGUCGAACGGCAGCACAGUAAGAGCUUGCUCUUACGGGUGGCGAGUGGCGGACGGGUGAGGAAUACAUCGGAAUCUACUUUUUCGUGGGGGAUAACGUAGGGAAACUAACGUUAAAACGGCUUCCGACCCCGGGUAAAAAGACGGGGUCGUACGAACCUGUGGGGAUAGAUCCGGCGGAUUUCGGGUUAGAUAGUGGGGGGGGUAAAGGCCUACCAAGGAGAGUAACCGUAGCUGGUCUGAGAGGAUGAUCAGCCACACUGGAAGUGAGACACGGUCCAGACUCCUACAGGGGGCAGCAGUGGGGAAUAUUGGGCAAGGGGCGCAAGCCUGAUCCAGCCAUACCGCGUGGGUGAAGAAGGCCUUCGGGUUGUAAAGCCCUUUUGUUGGGAAAGAAAAGCAGCAGGUUAAGACCCCGCUGUUCUGACGGUACCCAAAGAAUAAGCACCGGCUAACUUCGUG